AGAAUCAACGCUGGCGGCGUGCCUAACACAUGCAAGUCGAACGAGAAAGUGGAGCAAUCCAUGAGUAAAGAGGCGCACGGGUGAGUAACACGUGACUAACCUACCCUCGAGUGGGGAAUAACCUGGGGAAACCCGGGCUAAUACCGCAUAAUACCUACGGGUCAAAGGAGCAAUUCGCUUGAGGAGGGGGUCGCGGCAGAUUAGUUAGUUGGCAGGGUAAUGGCCUACCAAGACGAUGAUCUGUAUCCGGCCUGAGAGGGCGCACGGACACACUGGAACUGAAACACGGUCCAGACUCCUACGGGAGGCAGCAGUGGGGAAUUUUGCGCAAUGGGGGAAACCCUGACGCAGCAACGCCGCGUGGAGGAUGAAGUCCCUUGGGACGUAAACUCCUUUCGACCGGAAGAUUAUGACGGUACCGGAAGAAGAAGCCCGGCUAACUUCGUGCCAGCAGCCGC
rnacentral:rRNA from 1 species